UACGUAGGGCGCGAGCGUUGUCCGGAAUUAUUGGGCGUAAAGAGCUCGUAGGUGGUUUGUUACGUCUGCUGUGAAAACCUAGGGCUUAACCCUGGGCUUGCAGUGGAUACGGGCAGACUAGAGGCAUGCAGGGGAGAACGGAAUUCCUGGUGUAGCGGUGAAAUGCGCAGAUAUCAGGAGGAACACCGGUGGCGAAGGCGGUUCUCUGGGCAUGUCCUGACGCUGAGGAGCGAAAGUGUGGGGAGCGAACAGG
rnacentral:rRNA from 1 species